UAAGGUGGGCAGUCUCCUUUGGAUGGGAUGGGGAAGGGGAGAUACCUCGCCCCAUCAAUGGGUCCAGGGUUCACGCACAAGGCCGGACGCGGAGAAAACAUCAAAUGCUGAACUGACUUUACGGAAACAGGGCCACCGCCAUGGAUUUCCUGGAGACACCUCUACCAUCAUCACCGCAAUUGUCCCCGUUCCUGUCAUCUCCUAGUAGCCAAGUCGAGGCAGCACCGAGUGACAGUGGAUUUCUGGAGGCCGUCCUCAGUGGCCUCCGGAUGCUCAUAAGCAUCGUCGUGUUCCUGGGGCUUUGUGCUUUCACCGCCUACGUGGCCCUGCUCUGCACCACACUCUUCUUUGCCGCCCUCCAGGUCUUCUUCAGCACCCUCGUCCCAUCGGCGCUGCUCAUCUUCCAGUUUUUGCUGUCUGCCCUGCUUCUCCUCUUCUGCCUGCAGUGGAUGAGGGAGAUCCUGACCCUACAGUUUCGCUGCAAUGAACCUCUUUGAUGAGCCUAACUUGAAUAGAGCACCUUGGAGGA